rnacentral:lncRNA from 1 species
UAAGUAGUUGCAUCAGAAUAUUUUGACCUUCACAUUGUUCGACUCUUAUAAAGCUCACGUGUGGCUCGUGAAUAUGAAGGAAAAUUCCAGAACUAUUGACUUUUGGUUUUCGCUCGUGCAUUGAAGAAAAUGGUGUCGUUCUGUUCAACACUACAGUUUCGGCAUUGGUUCUCAACAAUUCGAGUGAUUAUAGGUUCGAUUAUCGCAGGAUCAGGUACAAUUUUUGGUUCAACAUUCAAAUUUACCGUGAAAGUUAUGUUAAAAUCCUAACUGUGGACUCUGUUUCCUGUUUUUCUUAAUUAUGAGUUGAAUUUCACUGUGAAAGUUGGAAUUACAUGCAUUAUCGCAGGAUCAGGUACAAUUUUUGGUUCAACAUUCAAAUUUACCGUGAAAGUUAUGUUCAAAUCCUAACUGUGGACUCUGUUUCCUGUUUUUGCUUAAUUAUGAGUUGAAUUUCACUGUGAAAGUUGGAAUUACAUGGAUUAUCGCAGGAUCAGGUACAAUUUUUGGUUCAACAUUCAAAUUUACCAUGAAAGUUAUGUUAAAAUUCUAACUGUAGACUCUGUUUGCUGUUUUUGCUUAAUUAUGAGUUGAAUUUCACCGUGAAAGUUGGAAUUACAUGGAUUAUCGCAGGAUCAGGUACAAUUUUUGGUUCAACAUUCAAAUUUACCGUGAAAGUUAUGUUAAAAUCCUAACUGUGGACUCUGUUUACCGUUUUUGCUUAAUUAUGAGUUGAAUUUCACCGUGAAAGUUGGAAUUACAUGGAUUGUAGGGUAUUUGUCUUGCAUAUUAUGAUGUAUUUCCUUCUUUCAAAUUCUGUAUUAUUACCUUUUAAUUUGGCAACAGUGACAACAAUGAGAACGGUGAUGCAUACAUAAAUUUUGUGAAAUAAUUUGAGGAACAUGACGCAUGUGUUAUUGUUAGACCCAGUGUUGGGUCUGAAGUGUUAAAAUAAGUUGAACGUGAUUAAGAAAGAGAUUAGACAAGGAAGUGUGUGUUUGUGAGAGAGAUUGUAUUAGCAUGAUCCCAGGGGAAGGGGGAAAUUUACAUACACAUUUGGAAUACAAAUUGAAGAGAGGGAAGGUGCCAAAAC